rnacentral:rRNA from 1 species
AGAAUCAACGCUGGCGGCGUGCCUCAGACAUGCAAGUCGAACGCGAAAGUCCCCUUCGGGGGACAAGUAGAGUGGCGCACGGGUGAGUAACACGUAGGUAAUCUACCUUUGGAUGGGGAAUAACAACCGGAAACGGUUGCUAAUACCGCAUAAUGCAGCGGCACCUAAUGGUGACAGUUGUUAAAGCGGGGGAUCGAAAGACCUCGCGUCUAAAGAGGAGCCUGCGGCGGAUUAGCUAGUUGGUAAGGUAAUGGCUUACCAAGGCUACGAUCCGUAACCGGCCUGAGAGGGCGGUCGGUCACACUGACACUGACAUACGGGUCAGACUCUACGGAGCAGCAGUCGGAAUUUUGGGCAAUGGGCGAAAGCCUGACCCAGCAACGCCGCGUGAAGGAUGAAAUCCCUCGGAUGUAAACUUCGCAAGAACGGAAGAAUAAGUAGGGAACAAUAACCCCUAUACGAGUGACGGUAACGUUGUAAGCUCCGCUAACUCCGCGCCAGCAGCCGC